AAUCAGGAGGAAAGUACAUGAAGCUGCGAGUCGAGUGUUUGCCGGACAGCUUAAAGUUCUUUGCUACCAUUUAGCAAAUUCAUGGCAGUGAGGAUGAGAUUCCUCUCACAGAGGAGGGCUGUCUCGUGUAAGAGCCGGGCCAUUAUGUCUAAAGACAGGCGGGAAAUAACACAGCCAUUAGUAUGUGCAUUUGCUUCUUCGCCAUGCCCUCUCAAGUCUCUGAAAUACUGGCUCCAUUUAGAUACAUUCCCAUUCAGUCACUUCCUGACACUUUGAAAGGAAAUAAUUUAAAAAAUGGAUAAUAGAAGUGAACAGUGGGAGCUCAUGAAUAUUUAUCGCUGCUAUGACUUCCUUCACAAAACAUUUCUUCUUCGUCUUCACAUGCUCCGGUAAAACAUUACAUGCUCCGUGUUUACAGUAACAUUGCGAAGUUUCAGUCAUCAUUUAUGGAUAAUGAAGUCUUUACUUCCUUCUGGGAUCAAUGAGGAGUUAGAGAAUGAGAACAUGCAGUGGUCUAAUCAGUGCCCACUGCUCUUCAGCUGUCAUUACAGACACACACUGUUUCAGGGCUGCACUCCGGCUGCAAUUAUCCCUUUUGCCUGGGCCAAUAAAUGCCUAAUGCAUUAGUGAUGACCUCCCCAACCCACCAGCAACCCGCCCACUCCACCAGCUCUCUCAGCUGACUUGAUUGGAUUGCGUUUGGGUGGAUCGGGUCUUCCAGAUGUGUCUGUGGAUGCCCAGGAGAUUUGGUCAAAACUCUGUGGAAACUAGUGCUGAGGGACAUGCAGAGAUGGUGGAAACCAACUGGAAACCAAUAAACAAAGACUGGGCAGUGGGCUUCCUCCCUUCGUUCACACCAAUCUGUCUGGUGAGAGCAAAAGCUGCUGCAAAGAAGCGCCAGUGAUCAGAUUUAGCAUAGACCUGAAACCAUAGCAACUAACGAGAAGCUUUAGAAGGAGAAGUUCCAGUCAAUGCAGCGAUCGAUGCAAUAAAUCGGCCUCAUCAAGGACCUGAAGACCCACAAAAGGGAAACCAUGACAGACGAAGAUGGACGACCUUCCUCCAGCUCUGGGAAAAUAGAUUCUGCACGGAGGGCUCUUUUUAUAACACAACUCAUUAUUCAGGUGCGUUUUCACAUUUGUGACAGUAAAAUGUAAUUUCACACAUUGUGAAGAUGUUCCCGGCUUCUUCAACAUGCAACAUGUUUGCCUUUGAAUCCGCUGUGAGCCGCCUCUGUCACUCUGUGUUGUAUUUCCAGUUAAGAUGCCUGAUUGAGAUCAAUAUCACAAUAUUAACUUACAAAAACUCCUGCCAGCGACUGGAAAACAAUCUCAGAGGAUGACUGAUCCAGACUCAUCUGUUCAGAUCUGACUGCUACAUCUCUCCAUCUGCUCACAGCUCUGGCCUUUGCUAUGGAUGAGUAAUAUUUUGCUAUUUUUCACUCUAUGCCUCAAAAACCUUUAGUUGAAAUAUCUGGAAUCUAAUCUUGAAACUAUUUCUGGUAUUGAAGCCGCAGGUAAGACAGGGUCCAGCUGCUCAUUUCCAUCCAGAAAAGAGGAAAUCUUGAGUUUGAAUAUUUUAAUUUAGUGGAAACAACUUCAGAGAAAAGCAACACAGCCAAGAAAGCACAUUCAUAAAAAUCUCUCACAAAGUCACAGUGAGAGAAGUCAAACAGUCUUUUCCAGUUUAUAAUGCUUACUUCAUGCCACUUUGGGGAAAAAAAAACAACUUUCAAACUAUGUAUCAAUGCCAGUGUAAUUUGUAAUGUGUAUGUAAAGUAACAUACAAAUGGCACCACAGGGUUGUCACUCAAUUUUAUAAAGCAGAUUAAUUUCAGUGAAGUAGUUUUAUUGAUGUGAGCUCACAUGAAUCAUCGUAGCAGAACUACAAACCUUUUACUUGAUUACUUGGCAUGGUGUUUACAAAUAUGGUUCUACUAUGGAACUAGUUUGACAUGUUCAAGCGUUCUUUGUGUGAAAACUCAGAGAUUUCAGAUAUCAGAAGGUGGUUUUCAACUUUCUGCUUCACCUUUAAACUAAAUUUCCUUUACUAAGCCAGCCCUCCGGACUUCCAGUAAGCUGUGUUCCUAUUGGAUGUCCAGGUGGCUGCUUGGUGUUAUCAGGAACACCUGAGCAGCUCAGUGUCUUCCUGCUUUAUGUCUGCAGUCAAACAUUUCCUCUGCUUCUGUUCACUGAACCGGGUUUGGCUCUGUUGCUUUAGUUUGUUCUUUAGGCGUUGGCUUGCAGCUUCCAGCAGUAAAAUCCUCUUUAAUGUGUUUUUUGGUGUGUUUUAGGGCUUUGUACUGGAUAGUUGUCUUGGUAAAUGUGGUUCUUUAGCCACAGUUAGCACAUUGUGCUAAUGUGUGCAGUGAUUAGUGGAUUUGGUGCAGUUGAGUUGUCUUUAUCUUGGCAGUAGUGAGUCUUUAGAGGUUUUUGGUCAGACACAUUCUGGAUUCUUGUUUGUGAACCAACAUUGGUUGUCCAGAAGGUAAGAGUUCCUGUCCUGAUUCUCUGUUUAAAGAGCUUCUCUGGUAGGCUGCAGGAGACUUUAGCGUUUGGGUUGUGCUAGUUUGGUUUUUGUACGGUUUCAUUUGGACGACUAUCUUGAGGCUCCUCCAUGUGGUUUAGUGAGGUUUUCUGGAACAGUUCUACAAAGCAACCUGCAGCAGAAGAGACUAAGAGUUUUUAGGAAGUUCUGGAGAACAGACUUUAGAGCAGCACAAACACUGCAGUUUGAGCAGGAGAAGGUGAGCUUCAGAGUAGACAUGAGAAGGAAACCUCCUUGACCCGUGUGGUGAGGUCCUGUACCAAGAGUUUGAGCAGGUUGUGAAGAGUCUGCAGUUAUUUGGUCUGAAAGCACCAGAAAAGUCAACUCAAAGGAGAAAACGGGAGAUGUUGUUGGUUCUUCUGUCGCUCUGCAGUUUCCUUAGACUGAAUAUCAAGUUUCUAUUUUAAGUGAUUUACUGUGUGAGCCCAAGAAGACUUCAAUAAACUCCCUCCAUCCCCUGGACACAACAUACUUUAUGACCAUGUUCAUUUUUUUUUAAUGUUUUUAAAUUUUAAUCAUAGUUUUUUUUCUUUGCUUGUGUAGUUUUGUCAUCUGUGUGAAAGGUGCUAAACA